GACGAACGCUGGCGGCGUGCUUAACACAUGCAAGUCGAACGGAAAGGCCCUGCUUUUGUGGGGUGCUCGAGUGGCGAACGGGUGAGUAACACGUGAGUAACCUGCCCUUGACUUUGGGAUAACUUCAGGAUACUGGGGCUAAUACCGGAUAGGAGCUCCUGCUGCAUGGUGGGGGUUGGAAAGUUUCGGCGGUUGGGGAUGGACUCGCGGCUUAUCAGCUUGUUGGUGGGGUAGUGGCUUACCAAGGCUUUGACGGGUAGCCGGCCUGAGAGGGUGACCGGCCACACUGGGACUGAGAUACGGCCCAGACUCCUACGGGAGGCAGCAGUGGGGAAUAUUGCACAAUGGGCGGAAGCCUGAUGCAGCAACGCCGCGUGCGGGAUGACGGCCUUCGGGUUGUAAACCGCUUUCGCCUGUGACGAAGCGUGAGUGACGGUAAUGGGUAAAGAAGCACCGGCUAACUACGUG
rnacentral:rRNA from 1 species